UACGGAGGGUGCAAGCGUUAUCCGGAUUUACUGGGUUUAAAGGGUGCGUAGGUGGGUAUGUAAGUCAGUGGUGAAAUCUUCGAGCUUAACUCGGAAACUGCCAUUGAUACUAUUUAUCUUGAAUACUUUGGAGGUAAGCGGAAUAUGUCAUGUAGCGGUGAAAUGCUUAGAUAUGACAUAGAACACCAAUUGCGAAGGCAGCUUACUACACAGUUAUUGACACUGAGGCACGAAAGCGUGGGGAUCAAACAGG
rnacentral:rRNA from 1 species